CGGAAAAUUCGGUGUGUGAUCCUGGAAAAGGUGAUAAAUAGAUUCACAUCAGGUGUUAAUGGUCCGGUAACGUUAGCAUAUUUGUUUUGUUUUAUUCAGGCGUUCAGGAAUGACUGUUAGGGGAAAAAGUGGUUUCAGUUUGCCUGACAUACAUAUUGGAUUGAUAUGCAUGCGUAUUCGUUUUCUUGUUGAUAUCCUUGGUUUGUCGUUGAACAGAUUUCUUUCCUCUAAAACGGUUUUGCGACGUUUAGCCAAGAGAAGGCGGAAUGCAGUUAGGCCUAAUUGUAAUGAAUAUUUUAUAAUAGCCAGGAUGAAAAAAUUUUUUAUAAGCAAGGUGUAACGAUGGUCAAUGUAGCCACCUUGUGGAAACAUGGCAUGAUUGCAUGUAGAAGAUUGCUUGAAUAAAAGGCAAAUGUUUCCACCAGCUGAAUUGUAUCACCAUUGAUGAAAUAUUGCAAUUUCUACUCAUGAAGAAUUGAGUUCUGCAUAAAACAUAUUUCCUCUUACUUUAAGAGGACAUGAAGGCACAAGAGAAAAGGUCUCAUUUCCUUUCCUCUUAAGGAUCCACUUAAGCGUGAGAAAAUGGAAACCAUGACAAAGGUGGACGAGGUCAGUCAAUUCCACUGCUUUCCAUAUGCGGGUCAGUUGAUUCCACUGUUUUCCAUAUGCAAGUUGUGAAACUGCAAACUGGCCAUUUUAUAACAUUCUCCAUACUAUAACCUGUACAAUCUCUCGGACGCUCA